CGGUUUAUGUGGCGGAAGAUCAACAGUCGAGUAGCCAAUUGGAGGAGGCCAACACAGGCGCAAAGAAAGAGGAAAAGGAAGCUUAGAUGCCGCCAUUUCACGUGAAAGCAGCGCGGCAAGGAUGACGACUAGUGCUAAACAAUUAAAAACACCAGCCAGAAUUUGAACCAUAUUCGCAAAUUGAAGAUUUAUACACUAACAGUAACAGUUUACUUAACAGUAGGGCCUGACUAAUUUCGACCUAACAGUCCAGCUGUCCUGCUAGGAGACAAAAAAAAUGAGCUACGGAAGGGCGCCGCCAGACGUUGAGGGUAUGACCUCCCUGAAAGUGGACAACCUGACUUACCGAACUUCGCCGGAGACUCUGCGCCGAGUUUUUGAGAAGUACGGCCGUGUGGGAGAUGUGUAUAUCCCCCGAGACAGGUACACCAAAGAGAGCCGCGGGUUCGCCUUUGUGCGGUUUCUCGACAAGCGCGACGCCGAGGACGCCAUGGACGCAAUGGACGGAGCGCUGCUUGACGGGCGGGAGCUUCGCGUGCAGAUGGCCCGCUACGGACGACCUCCGGACUCCAUGUACAGCAGGAGAGGUGCUCCGCCACGCCGAUACGGUGGCGGGUACGGCGGACGCAGAAGCAGGAGCCGUUCAGGAAGCCCUCGUCGCCGCAGACGUAGUCGCAGCCGCUCCAGGAGCAGAAGCCGUUCCCGAUCCAGGAGCCACCACCACUACAGCCGCUCCAGAUCUCACUCUGACUCAAGGUCCAGGUCCAAGUCUAAAUCCAAGUCCAGGACCCCCAGACGGAGCAAGACCAAGUCUCCCUCCCGGUCUCGGUCCUCCAAGUCAAGGAGUCGAACCCCGGCUUCCAACAGAGGUUCCAAAUCCAGGUCCCGCUCCAAAUCCAAGAGUAGGCCUAAAUCUCCAGAGGACAACGAGGCAAUGACUUAAUCCAGACAUGGACACAACAUGACGGUAUUCAUGAGAAAGGGUUGAUUAUAUUAUUUGCUUCAAAUAUAUCUGAGAUGGCUAGCUGUCAUCACUUGGGUUAUUAUUCUGCAGGCUUGGUGCUAUGUAACAGUCAUUUGCACACAAGCAACAAAGUCUGCAGAAUCCUGAAUGUUUUAAUUAAAAUAAGAUUGGGACCGAUGUAGUCAACGGUCCCAGUUCUGUGUGUCCUUUACUUUGCGUGUACGUUCAGCAAAUCCAAAGCACACACAGACAUGAGAUUUGGGUUAAUGUGACCUAAAAUAUAUUUUAAAAUGGGAAUGUAUGGGAAGGUUCUUCACUCAAAACGUUCACCUAAAUGUGGAAUUCUUUCCUCCAAGCUGCUGAGUCCUGUUUGCAAAGAGAGGAGGAGGAGAUGGGGGUGUGGCAGUGUGAGAGCAGUUAGUGUGUGACCCGCCCAUGUGACCUGCCUGUUGCUGAGAGCGAUGGCAGUUGCUAUGAAGCAGGUCACCAAGGCAACGGUGGUUGCUAUGGAGCAGGUCGUCAUGGCGGUGGUUCGGGCUGUCAGUUGGUGUAUGAGGUGGUGUGGUGAGGUACGUUCACGGGAGUCAAAGGCAGAUGCACUGAGCACUGUUCCCACCUGUACCUGUGGUUUCCUCCGCCUCUCACAAAGGGAACCGAGAUCUCACGUGAUUGAGCCUUUGCUGAGGACAUCAGGAAGAGUCUCACAUUGAGCAAGUGGACUCCACUAUUACCACUGAAUGCAGACUGAAAGGUUAUUGGAAUUUGGUCUAAAAUGUUUUAAAUUUGACUUAAGUUUAAACAAAUUCUGGGACAUUGAUGUAAUCAUUGUUUGUAAAGUUAAGCUUUUUGAAAAGAAUUUAAGUUUUUUUUUUCUCAAUUAAAUUGGGUUUUUUGUAUUUUGAUUACACGUGUAUUUUUUUUUUAAAUUACCAUAGAUUUAUUUUAAUAAAAUCCCUUGUUUAACACUUUCUAGAUGGAUGUGAGUUUUAUUUGCAGGGUGUCAUGUUGGAUGUUCAAAGCCUUGAAAGCUAUGUUAUACCACUCUUUUUUCUUUUGACAGAUGGUUUACUGUUUAGUGACAUAAAGAAAAAAACAUUAUCGCUAUGCCACUUCAUUUGUAAUUUGCUAAUCCAGCAGCAUACAUUUUCUUUUCUGUCAAAUCUCUAUUUUCUGUCUGGUUAAAGUUGCUUUCCUAUGACUCUAACCCUUUUUCUUGUGUAUCUUUUGUGCACUAGGCGCAGUUGUGUAGCAGUUGAAUAAUGCUGGUUAGCUGUUAAGAUGCGGUGCAGUGCGGUGGUGACAUGGUGUGGCGUGUUGCGGUGCUGAGUGCCCGGCGCUGUUCCGGGGCUCGACCCUCCGCUGCCGUUUGCUGGUUUGUAAGCUCACAGGUGUGGCAGAUCAUCCAUCCUCUCCUGUCUUGUGACCUCUCCUACCCUCCAUGUGCUGUACAGAUUUUUCCCUCCUUUCUUUUUCUCUGUAUUCUCACUCUUCUUUGUCCCCCCCUCUGUGGUUUAUCGACUUUUGAAAACUGGUUUAGCUUGCUUUUUUGAAAUUGGGUCCAGUGUGACUCGUAGUGAAGGGUUUAAAGGGCAGUCCAGGCUGCCUAAUAAAUGAUUUUAUUUUUUUUUGUAUUUCAUUCAUCUGUGAACCUCUCAAAUGUCUUGUAUUUGCUUUAGAUGAAUGUUAAUAAACAUCUUUUGUUGUUCAAGUCAA